UUUUCCCUGUUCCAUCCAACCCAUCAAUCCACUCCACCUCACCGCAACCAGCCACACCUUUGCAAUGAGUGGGCCCCUGCUCGAUCUCCUCGCGCUGUUCGUGCCCAAGCCCCUCCAGCACGACGCCGUCCAUUCCCCUUCUCGUCAGGCCAGACGACGAGCUGCCAGAGACCAGUCAGAUCCAGGAGCUCCUAACCAUAGCCGCCAACAGCAGCAGUGUGACCCCUACUAGGAGGUGUAGCCACAGCGCUCGGAGGCGCCUUCCUAACACAGCAUUGUAUGCCCAAGCUACCAUGGGCACCCACGCCAGGAGCCCCGCCAACCUCGUUGACGCUGGCGCUGUGCCGCCCUGCUGAGUGCUUCUCCCUUCCCUUCGUUUUCAUCUCCCGCGUGUUCUCUUCUUCCCUGAGCUCCCUCUCCAUAUCUACCCAUUUUUUCUCUUAGGUACCCAAACAUGGAAGCUGCAAUGAAUGCCAAGAUUCACCGGACAACAAGAGAACGUAGUCCCUCACUGAAUCCAUGGCGCACAUAUGGGAUCUGACUCAUUUGGUUCGGUUCCCAACGACCUCAGGGCCAGGACCUCCCUUAUCACCAUGGAUCUGCUGUUGUCUUUGUUCUUCACUAAAGAGUAGUAGUAGGUCGCACACCGAGCUUUGACUGAGCCGAGGCCCUACUCCAGCGCCCGUGUGGGCCGCGAGUGCCCCUAGCCCUCCAGCAACCAGCCCAACCUGGCCCGAGUUGAGCCUCCACCCGUCAUCAUAUCUUGGGGCAGUCAAAGCCCAUCAUACGAGAACCCCUUCCUAGCCUGACUGGCAAUCAAGCGAGAUGCUCAUCUAGGAUGUACUGGGUUUGAUCCGAGGCACCCCAAUAUCAUUGCCUGUUGCGUUCAAAUUUUGCACAUUAAAACUUGUCCUACAAUAAAAAUGAUUAAAAUUUUCAGGAGAUUAAUAAUAUCCCACUUUCAUGCAUGAUAAAAAUGUUUAACUUGUUGUUUUUUAUUUAAUUUCCAUUCUAACAUGUGAAAAAUAAUUUGUCUCAUAACUAAACAACCAUAGCUUCGAUUAGAAUGAUCCACGUAUAUAACUUGACUAGAAAAGAGUGUAUAAUCAUAAGGUGGACUUUAUUUUACUAUUUAAUUUAAUUAUAGUGCAGAAUUGGACCAAAAUUCAGAAAUUACAUAUGUGGACAUUUCGGAAUUGUUAUCCGUUGCUCCUACCUCAUUUAAACUUGCCUAAACAUGUAGUCUAUUUACGCUUCACCUUGUGCCAUGUUUAGAAAAAUUUAAUCUUGUCAUGUCAAUUAAUGAGAGUGAAUAAAUGAUUUGAACAUAGAGUUUCAUCAAUAUGGAACUCGUUGCAUAAUUAACUUCACUUAAUUUGCAGUGAUUAAUUGUUGUAUCUUGCCAUGCCAUGCCUAUUUUAACCUUACAUGCUUCAUACUUUUUUGCGCAUCAUAUCAUGAAUUUGUUUUGGUGUUUAACAUGUGUUGUUUGAUUUUUUCUAGAUUUGCUUCACCUUGCUAGAGUUCCGAACCGACUCAGAGUGUGAGGAUUCGUUCCAUUAUGUUGGUGCGUCUUCUUCAUGGCUUCGUUCUUCUUCGAAGUGGGAUCUCUGGCAAGAUGAACAUUUCCCUCGAUAUUACUACUAGCAUUGUCAUGCUAGUUGUCAAGUUCUAUCGCUAUGUCUUGCUGCCCACCACUUGUUUGUAAAGCCUCCCAAUCUUCCAUGAUCAGCCCCUAAGCUCCACUUUCCCAGCAAACCAUUGUUUGGCUAUGUUUCCGCUCGCUCAGCCCUUCUUAUAGCUUUGCUAGUUGCAUGUGCAAGUCAACAACAUGGAUCUUGCGAUAUCAAAAUAUUAUUGCUAUUUAAUUUCACGCACAUAUACACUUGGUAAAAUGUGGAAGGUGUGGCCUUUUGCAUGGUGUUUUGUUCCACCUUUGCCGCCCUAGUUACUUGUGUACCGGUAUUAUGUUUCAUAUCGAGUGUGCCUAACAUACUUGUGGUUGUUAUGGGGACCCCUUGAUUUUCGUUUUGGGAUAAAACUCUUCCGGGAAGGCUCAACAUUGGUACUGUUUGCUUAAUAGCAUCUAAAAUGUGCAUAUGGAAUGAUCACCCCGUGGAUAAUUAAUCAACUCUCCCGGGCCAGUUCUCCUCAUGAGUGUUGGUCCAAACCAGACAAUGUCCGGCACCCACUCGUCAUCCGGGGUUUCAGCCAACCCGAUGUCUUUCCCAUCUGGUAGUGCCCUGAGAAAGAGAUUCAGGUGGCUCCUAUUGGGAUAUGGCCUGUCAGACGGUCUUGCUGGAUUUGUUUUACCUCUCCCAAAUGCCUUGUGCAUUGGGAUUUCAAGGAUAUCCUGGGCUAUCUCGAGGCUGAGGUUUUUCAGCACAGCUAGUGGCUAUUUUCUGAUGGAUGACUUGGAGCACCCAUGUAGGGUUAAAUCUUUUGGAAAGCCGUGCCAGCGGUUAUGUGGUAACUUGGAAAAUUGUUUAACAUCCGAUCAUAGAAAACUUAAAGUAAACUUAAAUAAAAUACAAAAAAUUAUGUGGUUAACCAUGACCGUGUCUUCUUGUGAGGUUUGAACCAAGAAGGGACCACGGUGGGGUUAUGUUUGACUCGUAAAUAGGUGUUCAUGAUGACGUGGUUGAUCAUUACUAGUUCAUGUCCAUUUAUGUGUAGCACUAUUCUUAUUUUUGUACUCGUAAGUUACCCACUCAAAUAAAUGCUUAGUACUUUUUUCAGCCUCACCACUAAACCAUACCUCGUCGAUUAAGUUUUGCUAGUCUUGAGACACUUGGAAAUUGGACAGCCAAGUCGCCAUGGCUAACAGAUUACUACAACAAUAGUUGAAGAUACAAGUAAAGCGAUGUUUUGACGUGAGAGCGAUGCUUGUUUGAUUUGGAGUUCUUCUUAUUCUUCUUCUUCAUUGAUGUAGGUUGGGUUCCAGGCCGCCAGUCUGGAAUUAGCAAGGAUGGAUUUCGCUUUUAUUGUAUGAUUUCAUCCAUAGUCGGACCCUGCUCUUCUAUUUGAUGAUUGAUUGUAUUGUUGUACUAACAUGAUAAUGAUGUAGCUUUUGGGGAGUGUGAGCCAAUUCCAUAUA